AUCGUACAUCCUUCCUCCUCCUGGCGCAGGAUCCCGCCCAGUGAAACCUCACGCUGCCCGCCACGCCGCGCCGCCGCGGCCGCCACCAUGUCUUCGGGUGACAUCAUGUCAGACAGUUGCUGCGAUUUGCAGUGAAGGACUUUAUAUGGCUAUAGACAGUGUUCAAAACCAUCGUGAAUAGAAGAUAUGGAUACGGAUGUGUUUCUAAAACAGAAAUCCUGAUGCGAAGGAUUCAUACGUAGGAUCAACAACAAGACUCGCUCUCUGAAGAAUCAAGACAAAACGAAUGUAUUGUAGAUGAGAUGUAAGCUAUCUUGACAUAGAUGUAAUAAACAGUUUUAUUUAUAACAA